UAUAACUUAUGGUCCAAGAGGUCCGGGUACAAUCCCAAGAAAGAUGGCACCAGACAUUUUUAUAGACACAGGCAACUUCUUCCAGCUCAUCUACAAAACAGUUUAUUCUUCCUUUCUUAUAUAUUUAUUUUCAAGGUGGCUGGGAUUCUGUCAGUCCAUGAUCUACAGCUACAAGUCAAACUACAGUUCUUUGCAAGCAGUGGGUUUUUACAUUGGCCGUGCAGUCUGGCGUUUCAAUAUCUUCAGGAGCAGCCUGGAAGACACGCACCUUUGGGGAGUAGUCCGUGUGGACGACCCAGUUCCUUGCCGAUUUCAUUGACUAAAGCGUCAUAGGAGACCGAAACAUUGGGACAGCAGGCGUCAGGAAGAAGGCCCUUGCCUUCUUGAUACACAAAUAUCUGGCCGGGUUCUCUUGAAGACCCUGACCUGGAGUUACACGCUGACUACGGUUCUUUGCAGGAAUGGGACCAGCUCUCAGGGUUUCAUAACUGGCCAUUGUUUGGCACACCAAGGGCUCGGCCUAGGACCUCAGGUUUCUGGAGACAGGCGGAUGGUAGUUGCUGCCUUGAGUUCCUCCAGCAUUUCAUGUGUUGCUCCAGCUUUCCAGAUCUGCAGUCUCCUGUCUCCAUAGUACACAGAAGAAUUGGCUUCAUCCUCUUUGCAUCAAUAACAACUUUUAUACUUUCAACAAAUGGAAAACUAUUCUCUCUAAGCAGGGCUGAAACUUGAAAAGGAUUACGCUCAGAACAAAUAGUUUAAGUAUAGUAAAUCUUUUGUGGUCUGCUGUGCUGCAAGUUCUAGACACUAUAUUCUAGGGUAGGUCCAUACCUGGAUCCAGGAAAUCAGUUGUACUGAAAAUGAAAAUAUUUUUAAAAAGCUGCUCUAUUCAUGGUUGCUUGCUUAAAUUAAGCUUAAUUUGUGAAAAAUGGGCUACUUGGGAGAGAAUUAGGCUAUUGGUAGUCCACACAGCAUUAACAGAAUAGUAGUGUACAGCUUUACAAGGGUAAUCUGCUCUAUACGACAAAACACAACACUCAAGUCUGUGGUGAUAUCACGUGUAAGAACGUGAUUGGACAGAGUUCUGAGCAUGCACAGAAAUGACAGAAUGAUCUAGAAGCAUGGCAGUGUUAAACGUGGUUGCUGUUUGCUGUUAAAUAAAAGUUCUAGUUAUGGCCUUCCAGAAUAUGUUUCUUUAUGAGUAAUCCAUGGUACGUAUAAAGAACACAAUAUGGUGUCAGAAGUCGGUCUGGAAGAAUAAUACUAAAACGGGAGAAUUGAAGAUAAUCGGAAUAAAAAGAGCGCAAACAGUUUUGGUGUUUGCUAACAGUUUUACAAAUGGAAGGGCUCUAACCUCCGAAAACACCUCAGCUGACUGGGAACGUGGCUGAAAACUGGAAAAAAUUUAAACAGUGUUUUGAAAUGUGUUUAUUGGCAAUCAGAGCAGAAAGUAAAAUGGAAAAAAUGAGAGCUGCCAUCCUACUCCACGUGAUUGGUGACGACGCCAUUGAGGUAUAAAAUCAUUUUACUUUUGAGAAUGGAGAUAAUUUGAAUCUAAAAGCGAUAAUGGACAAAUCUGACCCAUUUUGUAUAUCGAAGGCAAUGUGACGUAAGAACAGUACAAAUUUUUCAAAUGUCGGCAGAGACUUAGUCAAAUGAUUGAUCAAUUUGUUAUAGAGUUGAGGCACCACAGUAAAACUUGCAAGUUUGCAGAGCUCACAGACUCUCUCAUUAAAGACGGAAUUGUUUAUGACAUUUUGGAUAAUGGUCUGAGAGAAAGACUGUUAAGAGAACAAGACAUUAACCUGGAAAAAGGUUCGAGUCUGUGUAAAGCUUCAGAAACUGUGGUGUCACAGGCAAAAGAGCUUUUUAUUGACAGCUGCGUAGACGCUGUAAAGCGCGAACAUAUUAGAAACAAUAAUGAAGUGAAAAUGAAACCAACAGAGAGCAAGACGUCAUCUGAAAGAAAAAAAUUAUGUGAUUGCUGUGGGCGGCAGCACUGAUCAAAAAGUGACAGAAAAUGUGCAACGACUGCGGUAAGAGUAAUAACUUUUCACGUUGUUGCAGAAAUAGAAAGGAAAUUAAAAACCAUAAAUGCAGAGCUUGAAAAUGAAUGUGAGGAGUUUUAUAUUGAUGUGCUUUGUGAAAACAAAGUAAGAAUGACUGGACUGUGCCAUUGCAAGUGAAUCAAAACAAUAUUCUGUUUAAAUUGGAUACUGGAGCACAAGUAAAUAUUCUUGAAGAAUCUUGCAUUAAAGACAAGACCAAUGUUACAUCAGACAAAUAUAAAAGUGACUGGGUAUUCAGGUGCAGACAUUCCAGUUAAAGGAACAUGUGUGGUGAAAGUAUCACACAAAAAUAGUGUGCACACACUUUCAUUUGUGGUCAUGCCAAGAAAUGUACAGUCAAUAUACUUGGUUUAGCUGCCUGAGAGACUGAAUUUGGUGAAAAGAUUCUUAGUCCUGACAGUGACACAGAGUCAGAAUACAGUGACUUGAUGAAAGAUCAAAGAGAACAGUUUGAUUCUAAUGUGGCAAAGGUAAAAGAAGUCAUAAAGGAAGAUCCCAGACCCAUCCCUUUGUUACUAAACUUGCCGCUACAGUACAAUACUGAUCUGAAGGCAGAGUGACAAGAAUCAGGAUCCCUUUGAAGAAGUAAAAGCACAAGAGAAGAAAUUGAGAAGUUUUAUUGAAAUGAAGUCUCAGCAUAAAAAAAUACAGUCAAUGAAGAAUGAAUUAGAUGAAGAAAAGAAGAUUCGUAUUUCAUUACAAAUGGAAGUGGAAGGAAUUAAGAAAGCUACAGUACUUGAAGGUUCAACCCAGAUCAUACAUGGUCCAAAUAGAAAAAGGAGCAGUGUUAAGAAGAAAUCACAAAGACCUCAAGAAAGAGCCGGCUUCAGGGUUUCAAUUAACUGAUGCAGACCAGACGAAACAUGAAAAUAACAACGAAACACAAGAACUGUGUGAACCACUUAGAAAGUCUACUUGUGUUCGUAAACCCCCAGAGAGACUGAUAGACAUGUUAAAUUAUGCAUUUAUUUUGAUUAAUGUUGCUAAUUGUUUUUCUUUUGAAGGAAAGGAAGAUGUGGUGAUAUCACAUCAUGUAUAAGAACGUGAUUGGACAGAGUUCUGAGCAUGCCCAGAAAUGAUGGAAUAAUCUAGAAGCGUAGCAGUGUCAAUCAUGGUUGCUGUUAAAUAAAAGUUCUAGUUAUGUUCUUCCAGAAUGUGUUUCUUUAUGAGUAACCCACGAUACGUAUA